rnacentral:rRNA from 1 species
GACGAACGCUGGCGGCGCGCCUAAUACAUGCAAGUCGAGCGCAGGAAACUGACGGAACUCUUCGGAGGGAAGGCAGUGGAAUGAGCGGCGGACGGGUGAGUAACACGUAAGGAACCUGCCUCAAGGAUUGGGAUAACUCCGAGAAAUCGGAGCUAAUACCGGAUAGUUCAACGGACCGCAUGGUCCGCUGAUGAAAGGCGCUUCGGCGUCACCUUGAGAUGGCCUUGCGGUGCAUUAGCUAGUUGGUGGGGUAACGGCCCACCAAGGCGACGCUGCAUAGCCGACCUGGGAGGGUGAUCGGCCACACUGGGACUGAGACACGGCCCAGACUCCUACGGGAGGCAGCAGUAGGGAAUCUUCCACAAUGGACGAAAGUCUGAUGGAGCAACGCCGCGUGAGUGAUGAAGGUUUUCGGAUCGUAAAACUCUGUUGUAAGGGAAGAACACGUACGAGAGGUAAUGCUCGUACCUUGACGGUACCUUACGAGAAAGCCACGGCUAACUACGUGCCAGCAGCCGCCGUAAGAC